UACGGAGGGGGCUAGCGUUGUUCGGAAUUACUGGGCGUAAAGCGCGCGUAGGCGGACCUGCAAGUCGGGGGUGAAAGCCCGAGGCUCAACCUCGGAACUGCCUUCGAUACUGCGGGUCUCGAGUCCGGGAGAGGUGAGUGGAAUUCCUAGUGUAGUAGGUGAAAUUCGUAGAUAGUUAGGAAGAACGACCAGUGGCGGAA
rnacentral:rRNA from 1 species